ensembl:snRNA U6 U6 spliceosomal RNA
GUGCUACCUUCAGCAGCACAUUUACUAAAAUUGGAAAGAUACAGAGAAGAUUAGCUUGGCCCCAAAUUCGUGAAGAGUUCCCUAUUUUU